rnacentral:rRNA from 1 species
AACGAACGCUGGCGGCGCGCUUAAUACAUGCAAGUCGAACGAGAAGGUGUAGCAAUACACUUGUAAAGUGGCGAACGGGUGAGGAAUACAUGGGUAACCUACCCUCGAGUGGGGAACAACCAGCCGAAAGGUUGGCUAAUACCGCGUACGCUUCCGGGUCUUCGGAUUCGGAAGGAAAGUCAUACCGUGGGUAUGACGCUCAAGGAUGGGCUCAUGUCCUAUCAGCUUGUUGGUAGGGUAACGGCCUACCAAGGCUUCGACGGGUAGCUGGUCUGAGAGGACGAUCAGCCACACUGGCACUGCGACACGGGCCAGACUCCUACGGGAGGCAGCAGUAAGGAAUAUUGCGCAAUGGGCGAAAGCCUGACGCAGCGACGCCGCGUGGGGGAUGAAGGUCUUCGGAUUGUAAACCCCUUUCGGGAGGGAAGAUGGACGAGCAAUCGUUCGGACGGUACCUCCAGAAGCAGCCACGGCUAACUUCGUGCC